AGACGUCAAAGACGACAACAGUAUUCGCUAUUAACAAGUUUAUCUGACCCUGUACUCGCACGAUCCUGCAACCUUUGCUCAAGUCUUGAAACAAGAUGAAGUCCACGCGAUUCGCCAUUCCUCUCUUCAUGGUACUCAUCUUCAUUGUUUACCAAGCUUCUUCAUCUCAUGGUUUCGUAUAUACUGUUCCCAAAGAUGUGGAUGAGGAAAGAGCAUCUGCUGAAGUGCGCGAGGACCGUAGGAAUGUGAAACUUGAAGAGUCUGUUGAGGAAAGUGAUUGUCCUCCCGGCCUGUGGUGUGGUUCGAUGUAAAAAUGGCAGAGGAAAUGCGGGAGGACCGAAUGAAAACUGAAAAUGGGAUUAGGAUUGACAUAUGUCAUAAUGUCGACAAACGUAAUCGAUAAUCUUGAAUGCAUUCAUAUUCCAUCAUCAAAAUCUGCAGUAGUGCAUCAUUAUUUUGAAUCAGCGUUGUUAAUCACAUAAAUGUUUAUCAUGUUCACUAUGACCGAGAAAUACGAUUACAACAUCAGCUUAACUUACUUACUAACUCAAAGGUCAAGUCCACCCAAGAAAAAUGUUUAUUUUAAUCAACAAUGGUAUUACCACAAAGUCAUGUUCAGGGAGGAAUAAAACCUUUUUUUACAGGACAACGGGGAGAAAAUUAUGAAAUUUCAUUUUUCAUAUAAUAAACUACAAAAAAUAGUGAGUGAGUGAUGUCAUCAGUCCUCUCAUUUGCAUACCGACCAGGAUGUGAAUAUAACAGUUUUGUGAGAUUAAGCGAAAAUUAAAAAUAUAAAUAUUUCUUUAUUCUACAUCCGAUUUUGAUGAAAUUUUCAGUGUAAUGCUUGUUUGAUUUUUCUUUUUUUUUUCAAAUCAACUUUUUGUAGGGAUGGACUUGUCCUAUAAUAAACUCUCAAUAAUUUCAGCAUUAUCUCAAUCAUAACAAUCAUUAUUUUUUUGUUGCAGACCUACAAAUUGGCGGGUUACAUUAUUAAUUCUCUUAAAUGCACAGACACCAGAAUAUAUUUAGCAAGAGUGACAUGAAAUCAUGUGUAAUCCAUUAAAAUAAUAUACAAAGAUGAAAAAUAAUGUAUAUCUUGUUAUUUCAAAUUGUCAUAUUUUUGAAAAGGUGUUCAAAUAUAUCGCUUUCUUAUGUGCUGACUU